GUAGGGGGCAAGCGUUAUCCGGAUUUAUUGGGCGUAAAGGGUGCGUAGGCGGUUAUGCAAGUUGAUGGUGAAAGGCUACGGCUCAACCGUAGUAAGCCGUCAAAACUGCAUGACUUGAGUACAGGAGAGGAGAGUGGAAUUCCUAGUGUAGCGGUGAAAUGCGUAGAUAUUAGGAGGAACACCAGCGGCGAAGGCGACUCUCUGGACUGUUACUGACGCUGAGGCACGAAAGCGUGGGGGAGCGAACAGGAUUAGAUACCCUGGUAGUCCACGCCGUAAACGAUGAAUGCUAGGUGUCGGGGGUCGAACCUCGGUGCCGCAGCUAACGCAUUAAGCAUUCCGCCUGGGAGUACGGUCGCAAGACUG
rnacentral:rRNA from 1 species